rnacentral:tRNA from 1 species
GUUUUUCUAGUAUAAAAGUACAAUUGACUUCCAAUCAAAAGGUUUGAUUAUCAAUCAAGAAAAACA